AGUUCUUUCAACCUAUUUUUGUGAGUCAGGUCAACUAAAAUUUUUCAAAAAGUAGAGACAACUAGAAAUAUUAAGUUUUGAUCCUUCCAACAAAAACAGUAGUACAGUCUACUUCAAACUUUAAGUUCGGGCAACUAGUACUUAAGUGUGACGGGACUUGCGCAUGCUCUGUACACUGCCCCUGGACAGUGUCAUAGGUCAACCUGUGCCUGCACGACCGCAUGAUGAAAUCACGGCGUCCAUUUUCUUUUCCAGUUGGAGCUCAAUUUGGCGGACUCAAUUUGGAGGAAUAUUUUUUCUAAAAUAAUUUUUAAUUUUCAAGGUAAUUUCAAAGAUUUAAAAGUUACCCAUCAUGGAUGGUCGAGAUGAGUUUGCGCUGAGCAGAGCGGGGGAGGGGCGAAAGCUCCCCACACACGCAGCUGCGCAGGCGCCGUUCACGAGGGAAAGACAGGUAAAUAAUGCUGCAUUUACACCGGGCCCUUGCGGUGCCACCUCUGUACGUGGUCUUGUAAACGUGAACACCGGACCAGCGCCAAACAAGCAGGCUGGUGCUGAGUUUACACGCCUGGUAUCUGCUGACCUUCUGAAGUCCUUCCUGAGUGGACAUGACCAGUAUUUGCCAAGGUUGAUCAACUUGUAUGAAGAAGUACACAAAACAAACCUGAGACAUGACAUCAAUCUCCAGUCUUCAUGAUUCUGUAAGUCGGCCUCGGCAGCCUGUCUGCGUUUUGCCCAUGAAAACAAACAUCAGAAGUUUUGCAAAGAUGUACCGAACCGGAGAUCCACUGCAGUUCUUGCACUUCCAUUCAUCUUUGAAGAGGAUCGCUCAACCUUCAUUAAGUUGGCAGAGACCACUGACGCUGCAGGGGUACCAACAGUGAUGAAGGGGGUGAGCGUUCGCCUACGGAUCACCAUGGAGAAAAAUGCAGAGAUGACAACCCAGUCAAAGAACUUUGUGAAUGUUGCUGUAAUCCUGGAGGAGUACAUCGUUUUGCGUGAGUUGCGAUAUGUACCAAAUGGCUUUGCAGAGCUGAUUGGACAACUUUACUGCUUCAACAUUGAUUAUCUGAAGUAACUGAAGUACACCUUUAAGUUCAUCCAGAACUUCAGGGGUAGAGUGGGCUCUGUUUGGGUUCAUAGACUGUUGAACAAACUGCUUCAGUGCACAAUGUCGAAACGUUCUUCAGAAUAGAGCAGCUGCCAUGCCAUUUUUGUUUGAACACUGUUCAGUAAAUACAUUUUAAGGAAUUGACAUGUGUGUAAUGUUUUAGAUGUCCUGUUUAUAGAACAACACAAAAAAUAUUCUGCAGACAUUCCUGCAUUAAUUUAGUCAGACCUGUUUUAGGCACAUUUGCAUUUGUGAUCUUUAAAGUCUGCUGUUGUGUGACACAUAAGAGAAAGUAAGUUUCUGUAUUUGUUCAAGUUUAAACGAGCGCAAACAGAAAUAUCUUCUUCCACUGUGACAUUUGUUAAAGACUCACUCCAAUGAAAAUACUCUUUUUUGUGUGUGUUUAAUUUGUUCUUGUAGCAUUUUUCU